AAAAAAAAAAAAAAAAAAAAAAGGCCUUAAAAUUAUUAAGAAUUGUAAAAGGGACUUUGACAAAAUUUUUUAUGUUGACUGAGAAAUGAGAAAAAAAUGUAGGAGACUUAAAUAAUAAAGAAAAAAAAGAAAGUCAGAGAAAUGGAGAAAUGAACUAAAAGGUUAUAGAGAGUUAAAGCAAGCAGUAAAAGUUAUAGAGGGUUAAAGCAAGUUGUAAAAGGUCAGAGAAAAGUUGUUAAAGGUCAGAAAAGGUUAUAAGUCAGAGAAAAAUGUAAACUGUGCUAUGGUUUCUCAUGUCUACAAAUAAUAAAUUUUUAAAAAUGGUGAUAUAAGUUAAAAUUUUAACCAUAUUAAGCUAAUUUUGUUUUUAAAAAAAGUCCUGUUUAUUUCUCAAGUAAAUUAUGUAUACUUGUUUUAAAAAAAAUGUCCUAUUUCCUGGCAUAAACUUAAGCAUGUUAAGCAAAGCAAGUUACGGCCAUUUUGUAACUGGUCACAUGACUUGACUGGUCGCCAUUUUGCUAAAGUUAAAAAAAGAAUACUUAAACCGCCAUCUUGACUAAAGGUGACCGCAUGGAAAUUAGAGGUACCAUCUUAGAAACAAGUUUUUCAAUUAAGAUUUAAAAUGUUAAUGCUUCUAUAUAUUACAGAAAGACCUUAAAGGAAUUUAAAUUUCUUUUUAAAACCAGUUUUUAAAUGUUUAUUUUUAUUAAUGUUUGUACUUAAAGAGCUUCAAUUUAGAAUUAUUCUUAAGCAAAGCCUGACAAUGUAAAGUUCUUUUUUUGUGAAAGAUGCUGAUCUAUUCUAAGAUGUUACAGUUCAUGUUUUUAGAAAUUAAGUUUAAGAUGUUGGUAGCACACACCUUUAAGCUCAGGGUGUAGAUGGCACACGCCUUUAAGUUUAGGGCGUUGAUGGCACACGCCUUUAAUCCCAGCAUUCGGGAGGAAGAGGCAGAUGGAUCUUUAUGAGUUCAAGGCCUGCCUGGUCCGGCAGAUAGAAUUCCAGGACAGGCUCCAAAGUCACAGAAAAACCCUGCCUCAAAAAGAAGUUAAGCUACUGUUUAAAAAAUAUAAGGUAGCUCUAUAUAGUUUUAAGUUCAGCUAUAUUACAUUACCUAGCCACCUAUAUGCUUAAUGUGUGCUUAAGGAAAGUAACUAAAACAGACAAACAGACCUCUAAUGCUUCAGAGAUCUUCAGAAUAUGGCAUUUAAAUUGUUAUCUUUAAAGUUUAUAAAGUCAGACAGACUGCCAGAUCCUGACAGUGACCCAAAGUCUCCAAAGAAGAUUGAGGCACCCCAGUUCCUGCACCUGGACCAGUGAGCAAGAUGCUCAGAUGUGAUACCUACCGCCUGCCAGAACCUAGCCGAGACUGUGGACAAAGCUGCUGGACACUGGAAAAUUGAUUAUACCCCUUUGCCUAGACAAAACAAGGUCAGUCUUUUCCAUGUCCCUCUUCCACAGAGAGGAAAAAACUCUCACAGUAUAGGCCUGGCGAAGAUUGCUGGUCUUUGAGACACCUGCCUCCAGCGACAUCUGCGUAUCAGUUGCUGACUACAGGCUGUUCUAAGUAGACUGCGAGCCCUGGACUUGCUGUGGAUGUGAACCAGUCCAGCUGAUGUGGUCACCCCCUGUCUCUGCAACAGUGUCUGCUAACCAGAAGCCCCUGAUGAAUUCCCCAUUGCCUAAAUUCCUUUUUGCUUUUGACUAGCAUUUCAACCUUCUGGGGUCCCUAACUUCGUCCCAAAGUCAGCAGGAAGCAGUUUGGAAAGAAAUUUCGCUGUCCAUUUUCCCUGGUUAAAAUGCUAAGUCAAAAGGAACUCCCUUACAUGGGGAUGCCAAUAUCUAUCACUCCCUGAUGGGGAUGCUAGAGAGACAGCAAUUCCAUGAUUGGAAUUUCCAAAAAAGAAAAUGGGGGAAUGAAGGAACCGGCUUCCCUUUUGGCAGCCAUAACAGCCGAACACGUGCUUGCCAUAAACCUGCCUUGGUCACGUAGAGGUCAGAUGCCUGUCUGUGACAAGGAACCCAUCAGAAGUUAGUCACUAGAAAGUCAGAUGCCUGUCUCGUGACAAGGAGCCAAUCGGAAGUUAGCUGGUGGCGCUAUGCUUUACGACCCUGGGUGUGCUUUACGGACAAGCGCACAGCAAUGACGUAGAGAGCAUAGCAACCACCCUGGGAGGGCCUAUGAGCCAUAACAACCAGUUGACCAAUCAACACAGGGCAAGCCCUCCAAGCCUGGAAGCACACCAAUCCUGAGCCUGUGCGUACCCCUAGACACUCCCCUUACACUGCCCUAUAAGAUCUUUUGGGAGCCCGUUGGAGCCGUCUUUUCUAGCUGUCCGCCAUGACGGGUGGGUGAAAGACCCGAGCUAACAUGGGGUUAGCUCGUUAAAUUACAAUAAAGCCUCGUGCAGUUUGCAGCAAGCUCUCGAAUCCGCCUGGUGAUUGGGGUGACCGCGAACCUGAC
rnacentral:lncRNA from 1 species